CCUGGAGACUCCUACGUGAGGCAGCAGUAGGGAAUCUUCGGCAAUGGACGGCAGUCUGACCGAGCAACGCCGCGUGAGUGAAGAAGGUUUUCGGAUCGUAAAGCUCUGUUGUAAGAGAAGAACGAGUGUGAGAGUGGAAAGUUCACACUGUGACGGUAUCUUACCAGAAAGGGACGGCUAACUACGUGCCAGCAGCCGCGGUAAUACGUAGGUCCCGAGCGUUGUCCGGAUUUAUUGGGCGUAAAGCGAGCGCAGGCGGUUAGAUAAGUCUGAAGUUAAAGGCUGUGGCUUAACCAUAGUACGCUUUGGAAACUGUUUAACUUGAGUGCAAGAGGGGAGAGUGGAAUUCCAUGUGUAGCGGUGAAAUGCGUAGAUAUAUGGAGGAACACCGGUGGCGAAAGCGGCUCUCUGGCUUGUAACUGACGCUGAGGAUCGAAAGCGUGGGGAGCAAACAGGAUUAGAUAAACGAGUAGUAAUAG
rnacentral:rRNA from 1 species